UACGGGGGGGGCAAGCGUUGUUCGGAAUUACUGGGCGUAAAGGGCUCGUAGGCGGCCAACUAAGUCAGACGUGAAAUCCCUCGGCUUAACCGGGGAACUGCGUCUGAUACUGGAUGGCUUGAGUUUGGGAGAGGGAGUGCGGAAUUCCAGGUGUAGCGGUGAAAUGCGUAGAUAUCUGGAGGAACACCGGUGGCGAAGGCGGCAUCCUGGACCAACACUGACGCUGAGUGAGCGAAAGCCAGGGGAGCAAACGGG
rnacentral:rRNA from 1 species